UCAUCGUCAUCACACACGCAGAUCGUCUUGUUCUGAGCUUGCUCGCCACGUGUCCGCCCUGCAUUCCCUCCCACGAGUCACCCCAGCCACUACUGCCUUGCCCUCCGGAAGGCAAGGACAACGCCCCCUCCCCCCUUCUGCCAUCGCACAUACAUACAGACAUAUAUAUAUAUAUAUAUAUGCGAUUCUCUGCGCUCCUGCGUGCGUAUGCAUAGGUGUGUGCAGGUGACGUCGACAACAGCAGUCGCAUCACAGAAUAGAGCACAUUCUCCCCCCCCCCCACGGCUUUCACGCGUCGCCAUGGCUGACUCCAAGGGCAGGGGGGUCACGCUUCCAGGCUGUGAUGCGUACCUCGGCCGAAAAGAGUAUGUGGUGUCAAAGUAUGGCACGCUGUGCAUGGAGCCGGCAGCGGAGCAGAACCGACUGCUCUAUGCAAUGCCGACGGUGAAGAGCUGGUCGAGGGACUUGUGGUAUGUCUGGCUUAUCAUUGGCAUCAUCGUCAUCUUGUGCAGCAUGGGAUGUGCUUUUCAGAGUUUUCGAUGGUACCGCCGCAUCAAGCACCGCCACGAGCGGGGGGAGCGGUGCAGGCGCACGAGCGGCAUGCUGUUCUUGAUGAGCUCCCUGUCUCACAAAAGGACUAAGUCCGCGUCGCAAGGGCGCUCCGAGGCCUGCCCCUCCCCCCGCCUCUCCGAGUCGCCUGCCACGCGCGACGUCGAGGCGGGCGACGUCGAGGCGGGCGACUCACGAUGAGGGAGAAACCAUAGCACAACGAAGAAGAACGCGCACGUGUUGCGAGUGAGCCGAAUCUGGUCCGUGCUUCUCGCUCGCUCGCUCGCUCGCUACGCCCUCCCUUCUUUAUGCAGUCUUCUUGUGGCUUUCGAACUUCGUGCGUGUGUGCGUGUGCUUCUCCUUUUCACUUCUUUGUUGUACAUCGUUUUUUAAGCUCUCUCUCUCUGUCUCUUUCGCUGGCGUACGCGCACGUGUUACAGGGGAUUCACCAACACCGAGUUGACGACACAGCGAGAGAGGCAGAGAGGGGCCGAGUGCGUGCGACAGGGCUGCUUUGCAUCAGCGACACUGGCUGCUGUAACACGACCACCAUCACUGUCCGUCUGUCUGCGCCCCCUAACCUGCAGAUCACGACUCGCCCGUUGCUAUGUUGUUUGUUUCACCUGCGCGUUUGGCGCUUCCUCAUUCUACUGGCCGUUCCUUUUCGAAGAAAAGAUAUUUUUUUGCCCCUCUUCCUUUCCUUUUCGUCUGCCGCGUUUUGAGAAUCGCCGACGCGUGUGCCUCUGCUCUGAUGUCUCUCUCUACCUCUGCAUGUGUGCAUCUGUAUCCCUGGUCCGUUUUCUUGUUCUCUCAUUUCUGCCCCCUCCCCUUGACUUACCCUGCUGCUGUCUUGUCUCCUCGGUCCACCACCGCCAACGCAGGACCUCUCAUCGAUGGCGAUCGUCCUUCACCGUUUUCGAUUUUAUCGGAUGAAGGGGUGGAGUUUCUGUCAGGUGUGGGUCGAAGCUCUCGACUGCGUCGUAUGGGCCACUCAUCUUGUCUGUGUGGGUGUCUUGCACGAUGUCUGUGUUUGUGCGCCCGUGUGACUCCGCUAUUCUGCUUCUAUACAUGUCUACGUGUGCAUAUAGAGAGACACCUGCACACACACGCACACACGUGCAUCUUUCUCCCUUUGUGAAUGUGGGGACCUCUGUGCGUGCAUGUGUGUGUGUGUGUGUGUGCCAUCCAACAUGUCUUCCGUCUCUUACUUUCGUUUCCUCUUCUCAUUCUCCUUUCAUUCCGCUUGAUAUGUAGACAUGGGAUCGUCUCUUCGUUUCUGCUCAGCGCUUGCGGGUUGAGACUCUCUCGUCCCUCGCCCGCCCGCUCCCUCCCUUCCUCCCUCGCCCCUAUCUCUUUCCGCCUCCUCCCUUGCACAUACGCGCGCGAAACAGCGAGCAGCAUCUUCGUGUAUGCUUUUCUGCCCACCCUCACUUCGUCUUUUUGGUCCCCUAGCGCCUGCCUGGUCCUCAUCUCUAAGACUAGCACCCCCUCUUCUUCUGUGCCUCUCUCCUGCACCCCUCCCCCUCCCCAGUAGUGCACCGCCACCGCAACUCACACGCAUGCAUGUUGCGCACAAGCCGAGCGCGUGCACAGGGACAGGGUGGUGUUCCGCGCGCUUCCCCGUCGCCUCUUUCCACCCACUCGAUCUAUCUGCUCUCCUUUCCUUUGUUUCUCGCUCUCUCUCUGUCCUCUCCACGUCCUCAUCGUCUCUGAAUACCCCUCUUCCCUGCUCUGCCCCGACGCCCACAAGUGUGCGUCCACACACAUCCACACAUAAUUUCAGUGUUCAACAGUUUCUGCUGCCUCGGUCUCUCCCCUCGUCGUUUGCCUUGCACCGGUGGUGCUCAUCUUGUCGCUUUUCAAUUUUUUUUUUGAUGGCUCCGCCCCCUCCACAUUCCGUCCCUCCCGCUCCCACAUCACCCCGACCAGCACGCCGCUGUCGUUGCGCAAGCGCGUCCGUCUGCGUGGUUGUCAUCCUGUGAAGGGGGGGGCGGGCGCGGGCGAACGAAAAUGGCGCCAGCCGAAGCGUUGACGUUAUCGAACAAAACACCGAAAGGAAGAAGGAGGCCGCGACGACGCGAAGCCUUCGUGUGUGCGAAACCAAGAG
rnacentral:misc_RNA from 1 species